GAGAAAGGUAGAAGUUGAAUGACAGGUGCAUGGGGGAAGAUGCCAUUUCCAUAGAAGCAUAACAUCAAUCAAUUAUCUCCGCGCAUAUUUCAACGUUUAAAACACAUUCGGAAUUGUUUUGCGAUCGUGCGUGAAAAAUAUCCCAGGGAAAUAAUUCAAUUGGAAGGCCAAGGAACUCUGAUACGUUUUCAUGCCGCUGUCUCUGACUUUCAAGAGGCAUUCUGAUGUUACAUUCUGACUGAUUUUUCUGCGUGGAUGUAACUUUCCUCGACACAUUUGCUGCAUGAUAAGCGAAAAAAUAGAAGAGAGGAACGACAGCAUUUGACCGCCAUCAGUUCCGGCGAAAACCACCGGCGUGUUCCGCUAAUCCCAGUUUCAAUUUUUGCAGCUUAUCGAUGUGCUAGUGCUAUUCCGCCAAUUAUUACUCUGGAUUUUUAAAACCAUUCUGUGGAUGAAAUUCUAACAAAGUUAUAGAUAUUUUAACGUUUGGGCCAACAUUUAACAACUCAAAUCGAAAAUGGCAGCAACAGCAAGACACGACAGAGAGAUGCAACAGAAAGCAAAGAAGAAUUUGAGCAAGAAAGACCUCGAUCCGGUCGAGAAAUUGCGAUGUCAGUGUCUCUUGAGGGGUUCUAAAGGCAUUCUUGGCCUAGGAAGAGUAUUCAAAAUCAUGGAUGACGACGGCAACAAAACCCUCAGCUUUGCAGAAUUUAAGAAAGGAUUAAGAGAUUAUGGAGUGCCAUUGGAGAAACCAGAUGUUGAGAAAAUGUUUAGAGCUUUUGAUUCUGACAAUAGCGGCAGCAUCGACUUUGAUGAGUUCUUGAUUAAACUAAGGCCUCCUAUGUCACAAGCAAGGAAGGAUGUCAUUCAUCAAGCCUUCCAUAAGCUUGACAAAACUGGAGACAAUAUCGUAACAGAAGAGGAUCUUAAAGGGGUUUACAACGUGAAGAAACAUCCUAAAUACCUCAACGGAGAAUUAACGGAAAGUCAGAUCUUUAGGACUUUCCUCGACACGUUUGAUAACCCCAAUGAAAAAGAUGGAAAGAUCACCCAAGAGGAAUUUCAGAACUACUAUGCCGGUGUCAGUGCCUCCAUUGAUAAUGAUGCCUAUUUUAUACUGAUGAUGAGAACGGCUUGGAAGCUCUAGCAAGCACUUCCUCGUCUUCAUCUCUUUGCCAUUCCGUCUCUCCAACGUUCGUUUAUUACCCAAGAAGAGUUCCUAAACUACUAUGCUGGGGUGAGCGCUUCGAUCGACAAUGACUCGUACUUUACCCUCAUGAUGAGGACCGCCUGGAAAUUAUGAUUGCGCCCUCUGUAGAGCAACCUGGAAAUCCAUCUUGAAAUAUCACUGGGAUAUGCUCGUCUACAACAGUGGGGGGUAUAACUAAAUGCGGUGUGUAGAACAGAGCAUGGAUCAUAAAAGCAGAUUUAAUCUUUGUCGUGUAUUGUGUUUCUGUGACUUACCUUGUGCUUCUGUGACUUAUCUGUCCUUUUUUUUUCAUUUUUAUCUGCAAAUGGGAGGUUUUUCUAUUAUUACAAAACAGGUGUGAAAUAUUUUUUGUGUACAGUGAGCUCCACCAUAUGAAUAACACCAAGUUGAUUUUUGUUGGUAUUAUUACAGUGAUCAAUGGUUAGGUAGCAUCUGUUGGCUAUUCAUAUCUCUGUAUGCUAUAUUAGUCCCAUACUGAAGUACUAACUAAGGAUGCUUUCACAAGCAUGUCUUUAUAAGAAGAAAAACAUCAAUGUCGAGAUGUAGAGCCCGAGAUGACAUGGCCUUUGUGGCAUUGUGUUCUAUCUAGGUUAAUCAACGCCACUCUGCUCUCAUUUGCCUUCUUCAGAAAGGAAAGUCCUAUAAAGAAAGAAAGAUUAAGAAAAGGGAAGGUCGUAUGAGAUGAGGAGAGACAAUGAGAAAGGAGAGCAAGAGUGGGAGAGAGAGAGAGACAGACAGACAGACAGAGACAAAGAAGGGAGACAGAGACAAAGAGAGAGAGAGACAGACAGAGACAAAGAGAAAGAGAGAGAGGUGAUUAGAAAGAGGGAUGUGGAGCAAUAAGGGGGGGGCAGGGCUGAUAGAAUAAGAGGGGAGGGGAGGGGAGGAGAAAGUUAUCCAAAUUUGUAGUAUUUAAAGACAGGGUAUAAGAGAGAGGGAGAGAGAGUGUAUAAAUAAGGGAGAAGAGAGCGAGAAAAUAUGAAAGAGCAAGAUUAUCAAAAGAAUGAGAGAGGGAGAGGGGAUGGGGGCAUCAAAAGCCACAUACAUUCUUUAUAACAAAAAAUACUGCAUAAUAUCGGGAUACAACAGGUUAUGUUAUACUUGUUGCCUACACUGUCACAUGUUGUUCCUGAAAAUAGCAUUACGAAGCAAAUUCAAUGCAAAUGCUUGAGUACACGAGUGUUCACUCUUGCAAACAUAAUUCUCUUCCAUAUUUGUGAUUAUAUCUCAAGAAGCACUCUGGCCUGGGUAAAGGAUUUUUAUUUUCCCUCCUGAAUGGUUGUUAAGAGCAAGACUGGAUUGCCUUUUAGCCUUUCCCUUUUUGUUUGAUCCCAAGUUUUCAAUUGAUUCUUAUUGAUAUGCAAGAAAGACUGGAGUAGUUUUGUCAGCAUGAGGAGUUAUGUGAAAUACGGUGAAAUUUCCGGAUGUAUCUCAUUUUUAAGUGUAAAUUUUGUCAUACAGUUGACCUUUCCUUUACUGCAACGGUAACCAUUUAUGCAGAACUGAUAUUAUCUAUCUUUGUUUUAAAUUUUCAAUGAAAAUGUUAAUGACACCUGUUGCAAGCAUGUUACGUAUACAGUGAUAUUCAGAUUCAGACCUGUACACCUAUUUUAAGCUUUAUUUAAUUUGUAAUAUAUUUCAAAAUCCAUGAUUUGUCAAUUUUUGUUUUAAAAAACUUCUUAUAAUUAAUAUUUUGGGGUUUUUAAACUGAGCUUUUAUACCUUAAAGAAUCCUUAAGCAACAACAAAUCAUUUGAUUUUAUUUUGCGAGUAUCAGUGAGUGUUUUAUUUAUCAUACAUCCUCUCCAUCUUAUACUGUACAUACAUUUAGUCAAAUGUGUAAUUAUAGAUGUAAAUAUUAUUCAAACUCGUGAUAUAGAUCUUAUACAUGAUUUUCUUUUGUACAUUGUAAAUAUAGCUGAAGUGUCAAAUCAUGGAAGUUUUUAUGAAUCAGAUAGUAACUCAUGAAUGUAGGUAUAUAUUGAUAAUUUCCUUUCCACCUCUCCAAAUUUGAAUCUUAGUCAUGGGGGGUAUGUUUUUAUUCUAUUUAGGAUAUUAUUAUGAUUUUCCUCAUGUGCAGCAUUACUAGUAUUUUUAAAGUUUAUGAAUGUGUACAUUGUAUGUUGGUCUUCUACUUAACUUCUGUAUAAUACAAAGUCAUUUUUAUAUCACUGGAGAUACUUUUAGAAUCCUUAAAGUUAAAAAAUGUUAAUUAUGUUCUAAACAUAUCAUGUUUGCAUGUGAAUUUAAAAUACAGUUCAUUAAUGAGUAUGUACUUUUUAUGUCAUGAAGUUUAUGGCCCGUAUUCUGAAGUCAGGUUUAACUUAGACCAUGGUCUAACUCUGUGCUAAAAUUAUGGGAAGCCAAAAGUGGCAAAAUUUUUAUUAAGUUGUAUGUUUCUUAUGUUUAUUGUGCUCUUUCCUGAUUUAUCGAUAAUGAAGACAAUCCUCUAUGUAUACUUCCUAGACAAUUAUGAAUGAUUUGAGAGCCAAAUGAGCUGAAAUAUGAUAUCUUUGCUGUUAGUGAUUUAUGUAACAAUUGGCUAUCCAUACUUAAACCACAACUUUAAACCUGAGUUUAAGUUAAACCCGACUUCAGAAUACGGGCCAAUGAGUCCACCUUUGCAAAGAGUGACUACUUAUAAUUUUUCUUCUAUGGUAACGGGAAUAUUUUUUUCAAUUAUCUCAUGGAGCCCUCAUUAUUUUCCCUGAACAAACUUGUGAAGAAUAUGUAUUUACAUAAAAUAUAGUAAUAUAAAAUAAUAUGCAUAUCCUUUCCGAUGUAAGUGAAUCCAGAUCAUUUCAGUUUAUGUUACUGAUAUUGAUCAGUAGAGACUUUGCUCUCAUCUGGUGCAAAAAACAAAACAAAACACUGAAAAUCAUGUCUUUGGAAAAAAAAAUCAAUAAUG